rnacentral:rRNA from 1 species
UACCUGCAGCUCAAGUGGUGACCACUAUUAUUGGGCCUAAAACGUUCGUAGCCGGUUUAUUAAAUGCUUGGGUAAAUCGUGUAGCUUAACUAUACGAAUUCCGGGUAGACUGAUAGACUUGAGACCGGGAGAAGCUAGAGGUACUCCUGGGGUAGAGGUGAAAUUCUGUAAUCCUGGGGGGACCACCAGUGGCGAGGGCGUCUAGCUAGAACGGGUCUGACGGUGAGGAACGAAGCCCUGGGGCGCAAACCGGAUUAGAUACCCGGGUAGUCCAGGGUGUAAACGCUGCUUGCUUGAUGUUAGUUGGGCUCCGAGCCCAAUUAGUGUCGGAGAGAAGUUGUUAAGCAAGCUGCCUGGGAAGUACGAUCGCAAGAUUGAAACUUAAAGGAAUUGGGCGGGGGAGCACAGCAACGGGUGGAGCGUGCGGUUU